ACGGAAUUGCUUUGUUGAUCUCAAUCCUCUAACACCUUUUCUUCCAGAAGAGCUUAAAGCAGCGCCUGGGUAAGAGUAAUAUCCAGGCACGGUUAGGCCGACCCAUAGGUGCUCUGGCCAGGGGAGCAAUUGGAGGAAGAAGCCUUCCCAUAAUCCAGAGAGGCUUGCCCCGAGGAGGACUACGUGGGGGACGUGCCACCAGAACCCUGCUUAGGGGUGGGAUGUCGCUCCGAGGUCGGGGUAUGAUAGGUCGGGGAAGAGGGGGCUUUGGAGGCAGAGGCCGAGGUCGUGGCCGAGGGAGAGGUGCCCUCACUCGCCCUGUAUUGACCAAGGAGCAGCUGGACAACCAAUUGGAUGCAUACAUGUCGAAAACUAAAGGACACCUGGAUGCUGAAUUGGAUGCCUACAUGGCACAGACAGAUCCUGAAACCAAUGAUUGAAGCCUGCCUGCCUGCCUGCCCACCUGUUAGACUCUUGUUAAAGUCACCACAUCUAUACAACAACCUUGAGAAAACAUGAGAAGAAACGUGAUCGAUGCUGGAAGGACAUGUCACAAUAGGCUGUGGACUUACCUGCCACCAAUUGGUGCAUUUAGUCCCUUCCGUCUACUUUUUGAUACUGUGUUAUAUGAAACCCUAUUUUCCUUU
rnacentral:lncRNA from 1 species